GAUGAACGCUGGCGGCGUGCUUAACACAUGCAAGUCGAACGGGAAAUAUUUCAUUGAGACUUCGGUGGAUUUGAUUUAUUUCUAGUGGCGGACGGGUGAGUAACGCGUGGGUAACCUGCCUUAUACAGGGGGAUAACAGUCAGAAAUGGCUGCUAAUACCGCAUAAGCGCACAGAGCUGCAUGGCUCAGUGUGAAAAACUCCGGUGGUAUAAGAUGGACCCGCGUUGGAUUAGCUAGUUGGUGGGGUAACGGCCCACCAAGGCGACGAACCAUAGCCGGCCUGAGAGGGUGAACGGCCACAUUGGGACUGAGACACGGCCCAGACUCCUACGGGAGGCAGCAGUGGGGAAUAUUGCACAAUGGGGGAAACCCUGAUGCAGCGACGCCGCGUGAAGGAAGAAGUAUCUCGGUAUGUAAACUUCUAUCAGCAGGGAAGAUAGUGACGGUACCUGACUAAGAAGCCCCGGCUAACUACGUG
rnacentral:rRNA from 1 species